rnacentral:rRNA from 1 species
GAUCCUGGCUCGGGAUGAACGCUGGCGGCGUGCCUAAUACAUACAAGUAGAACGCUGAAGGAGGAGCUUGCUCUUUCCGGAUGAGUUGCGAACGGGUGAGUAACGCGUAGGUAACCUGCCUGGUAGCGGGGGAUAACUAUUGGAAACGAUAGCUAAUACCGCAUAACAGUAGAUAUUGCAUGAUAUCUGCUUGAAAGGGGCAAUUGCUCCACUACCAGAUGGACCUGCGUUGUA